UUAGACUCCUUGGGAGAUUCGGUCACGUGCAGGGCUCCAGCAGGAGUGAGGCCUGGGGUGGCAAGCCUUGUUUCCACCAGGCAAGGAUCCUCUGGGCUGGGGCCUGGCACUGCUGAACCUCAGUCCAUUGCUUUUUGACCUAGUGGGUUUUGUAGGGUGAACCAAGUUUGAAUCAAUGCCAGCUCUGGUGGAGUUGGGGGAAGUAGGUAUUGGGAGGCAGGCGGGUCUACAUUGGAGCUUGGGUUCAUGGACGCCCAGAAAGAUCUAGUCCCUCUUGUUCUGCCCUUGGAGCUGGGGUCACAGCCUGACCAGCUGGGUCAGGAAGAUCCGAGGACCUGCAGGGUUGUGAGGAGGUGCCUAGGCAGGGAGGCAAAUGUGGAAGCAGUCACGCGGAGCGAGGUCCUGUAGGUCUCGGCUCACACCAGCACUGCUGCCUGGACCAGCCUGGACCAGCCUGACCUGGCUGGGUCUCCCCGGCGAGCUCCACUGGGGACGGAUGCACUAGAAGAACAUCAGCAGGAAUAUGAAGCAGAUGAGCACAAACAGAUAAAGUCACCUUCACGUAAGGAAAAGACAUUAAUAAUGUAAAUGCAAGUAAAGCAAGACCGUCACGGCACAGAUCCUCCCACACGCUCACAGCGCACUUACGGGAGAGCAGCUGGAAGCUUUGGAAAGUUUGCUGGCAAAUCAAAGGAACUGCGAAUUACAGCAUUUUGCCAGGAUGCCACGAAAUCAGUAGCAACAGAGACUUAUUGACCACAUUCUGUGAUUCUUGAUCUGUUAAUCAACUGAGACAUGGCUUUACUCUUUAAAAGAGGCAGGGAGAGAAAUACCUCAAUUUCUAGCUAUGUUCCAUCUCUGUGUCAUCGGGCCAGAUGAGAUUAUACCAAAGUUACAGAAACAAGACCUGGAACGCUGGCUGAUUACUAAGUCACCUGUGAAAAAUUCAAAUAUUCAAGCAAAUUUUACCCAGA